UUGGAGGGCAAGUCUGGUGCCAGCAGCCGCGGUAAUUCCAGCUCCAAUAGCGUAUAUUAAAGUUGUUGCAGUUAAAAAGCUCGUAGUUGAAUUUCGGGGUUAGUAGGUUGGUCAUGCCUCUGGUAUGUACUGGUCUCACUGAUUCCUCCUUCCUGAUGAACCGUAAUGCCAUUAAUUUGGUGUUGCGGGGAAUUUGGACUGUUACUUUGAAAAAAUUGAGUGUUUAAAGCAAGCUAACGCUUGAAUACAUUAGCAUGGAAUAAUGAAAUAGG
rnacentral:rRNA from 1 species